CACUUCUCAAGUUGGCC
rnacentral:rRNA from 1 species